CGUCGUCCGGCGCGCCGGUGGCGUUGGCCGCGUCCAGCAGGCGCGGGGCCAGGCGGGUGAACAGCUCGCGGCCCCGCUCGGUGCGGGUGGCGGCGA
rnacentral:tRNA from 1 species